GCAAACUUCAAGGUUACUUAACUGCUGCCUUUGUUUGCUUUUUGCCAGGGAGCAAUGUGGACAGGUCACUAAAUCACAGACUAUAGAGGAACUACUGAUUGCAAUGAUGGGCCAGCAAACAACAGGCUGAAGUAGCCUGCUGGGUACUUGGAAGUUAGGAUAACUUCAUCGUCCAAUCCUCUGGUCCCCUGCUUACCACAUACCAACUGCUGGCAUUUCAACAGCUUUGAUACAUAUUUUAAAGGAUGCGGCACAUCAGAACUGUACUAAUCUUAGUUAAAAGGCAAGGCACUGUACACAGAUUUCAUUGCAGUGGCCUACUGACUUCUGGCGCAAAUCUCUGGAAAGGAGGUACAUGCAAGCUGUGCCUGGAUUGACAUGCUUAUUAAAGCUUAAACAUGUUAAAAAUGA